AGUAGGCCAAAACAUAGAAAUCUCAGUUCAAGGCUGCAUAAACAGUUCCAAGAAAUCCUGAGAAUGGGUUAACUCCCCUGUUCACAUUCUGGGGAGGAUAGAUUGUUUCUUUUGAGAAGAGCUUUAAAUCUGGUUUGCUGCAUACAAUAAACGUUCAUUAUCCUUGCUUUGAUAAUGCUCCAGUCUUUCAUUCUUGAGACUCCUUACGAGUCCCCUAUUUCGACUCUGUAUAUGUCCCCAUCAAGUAGCGCCCAGAACAGGGAUACCCCUUCCCCUUGGUUCUUUUAUUGGACCCACCCCCUUUUUGGAGAACCCUCGACUUGUCCGGUUUUUUGAGAUCCCCCAAUGCUGUGUGCUGGUUAUGCAGAGUUCUGACGCUACAGAGAUCCCCUCAGUGGUAAAGACAGAGUAUGGCUCCCUUCCCACCAAGUUUGAGAAAUUGACCAUAAAGAGAAGGACAAGGAAAGGAUGCAGGAAGCCUCGCAAGGAGACUUGACAACGUCUCCAUAAGAUACUGACUCUUCUGCUUCUAUUCCAGAACACAAGUAUAGCUACUGGAAUAAAGAGAUGGGUUUUUUGGGAACAACAACCUUGGGUACAGUAUGUCAACAUGGGACACGCUUUACUGGAAGUGAUCUUAUAUACAAAAACUAACUCUGGUAUUCCUGGCAUUUACCAUUUUGAGAGACAAGCUAAGGACAGCAAUCAGGCCAAUAAUUUGUUUGUGCCUUUCAAUUGGACUGGACUAGUUGAGGCACCCCCAGUGUGCCUCACACGAGACCAUCCUGCAUGCCUGCCCCUUAAAUCUCUGCAGUUGCAUUAUUAUGGUCAUCCUGACCUGUCAGACUCUUUCUGGAUAGGACCUUAUCGUGUAGACAAAGGGGUAAAAUAUGAAGGUUAUGGCCAACUGUAAUAUCUAGGUUGGCUAGGGGAAUCUUGUGAUAGUACUUGGGGACAAGAAAGACCUAUUUGUCCUUAUGUGAAGGAAUACGAACAAAGGGACACUGUUAAUGUUUCCGCCCUUGCUAUCAUGUAGAUCUAAAAGGGUAUCAUGUAUUAAUUGGAAAAAUAUGAUUUGGGUGUUUUGGCAUAACAACACAAGGUGUAUUGGAAAGAAAUUGGAUUCUUAUAAAUUUCAUGAUUGUUUUAUAGGAGGAUACAGCUCGCCUUUGUAGGUGAUGGCCCCCAGAGCUAACUGGUUACGUUCUGCUAAUUUCACAUAAAUUUUGACUGAUUAUGGAAAGGAUAGCCCUGGCGUUGGAUAAAGUAAAUAUGUCUCAUUAUGUUAAUGUUACUAAUAAUGAGAAAGUCCCCAAACCAGUAAAUAGAAGUUUUACAUUAGACAUUCAAGCUUGCCUAACAGGGGGAUAUGCUUUUAUAACUACAGUAAAAAACCAUCCUGAAGCUUUGAAUAUUACUGAAAUAACGAACAAAGGAGUUAAAUAUUGGAAUGUAACCUGUAGCAAUUGUAGGGUCAGUUACUGUGUAGGAUCACAAGUGGAUGGGCUGGUCUUAAUCAUCAAGCGACCACGCAUGGCCCUUUUUACCACUGAACAUAAAUAUUCAUGGUAUGGUAGUCCAGGGGAUCAAAUUUUUCAUGUAUUACAACAAAAAAUAAGACCACGACGUAAACUAUUGUAUUGCAAUAGGCAUAGUAGCAUUAGUUUCUGCAUUGGCUUCUACUAUAAUAGGUUCUGUAUCUUUGGCACAAUCAGUUUCUAACUUACAUACUCUUGAGCAUCAUAUGAUGUCAAUUAUUUGAAAGCAUUGGCUAUGUAUUGGCUGAUGUAACUUCAGCAUUAGAAAGACAAAAAGAAAUUGAUACAAGUUUUUACAAAAGUAUUAUGAUGUUACAGAAAAAUGAUUGAUCUAACGAAUGAAGUAGAAUAUUUGUCCUUAAAAACACACAUGAAAUGUGAUCAUAUACUGCAUUUUGCUUGCUACCCAUAACAGUAAAUAAUGAUACAAAAACAUUGGAAAAAAUAAAUUUACAAUUACAGGGAUUAUGGGACCAUGAAAAUAUCACCAAAGAUAUUAAUGAUUUGGGUAUAUUAAUUCAUCCUUAAAGGAGGACCUUGAACCACAGCAUAUUGCAGAUUCUUUGUAUAACUGGAUUGAAACAAGAAAGGGAUUGUUUUCCUCCUUAUUUCAUGAUAUUACUCUUCUUGUAGUUGGUGCACUUGCGAUUUUGUUUAUCUGCUUAUGCUUGCCUUGUUUAUUAAAAGCUUUUAUGACUA